CGGAGCUUAAGCCCGUGCCCCCUUGUCCUAUUGCUGAGUGCCUGCUUGUGCAGGCAAGGCUGAAAACAGUAAAAUAGGUAGACCCCUUUCUGCCAUUUUAUGUACCAUUUGCUACAUAACAUCUAGUCUCACUGAUUAUUUCAGGGGAAGGAGCAAAUGGAACCCUAAGCACCUAAUUAGGGCUUAGCUGUCUAAGCCAGCUUGGAGAAUGAGGCCUAAGCACCUACAUAGUGAGCCUGGAGGGACUUUGUUCUCACAGAAGAAUAUUGCUCUGGAACUCACCUUCCAUUUUCAUCUCAUUGAACCUGAACCUCUUGUCCUGCAGAGCAAUAGUGUGUUCUCAGGCUAGUUUUUGAGGGCUGGUUUAAGCUUCAGGGGAGUUUCUUUUAGUUAAAAAUAGAUAGUGUCAGUGUUUCUAUCUGCUACAGCAUUUUGCAUUUGCAAUGAUUUCUGUACAUGUGGCUUUUGAGUCAUUACAAUGUAAUGAAUUUAAUUCAUUACAGGAAGAUUUAAUUCAUUAUAACAUCCUUAGCUUUCUCAGGACAGGAUACAUUUGUCUGUAGUCUUCCCUUUAGUCUGCUUUGUUAUCUAUAAUAUUCCUUCCUUUGAUACAGAUGGCCACACAUCAUAGCUUGUUCUGGUUAGGAAGCUAAACCACUGAUGGAGGCAGGCUCUUUCUUGGUUUCAGUUCCACCUAUUUGCAAAGAGCAUGCCAACUCCCUUUUCUCUGCCUGCAGAUGCAAUCAAACCACAAAGACAGUAUCUCUGCUUACAGCAUGACUUUUUUUUUUGUUCAGUACCCCCAGUAAGUUCUCCCUUUAGGCAUUUAUGCCCAGAUUGCUUCCUUUUACUGCUGUGUUUAGAGCUUAUUUCUCUUUCUGUUUCAGCUACCUUGUUUUAUACAUACAUGCACACAAAUACACCCUUACCCAAAGCAAUAACCAUCAGUACCACCUGCCUACAUUAUUCAAGAUUUAGGGUGUACUUUUGCCUUGUCUCAGAAACCUGUAUUACCUCAUCAAAGAACUACUUGGCUCUGUUAUCUCAGAUGAAGGGUGGUGGUUACUUCCACCAGCUUCAAUGCCUCUUCUCCCAGUCUUCAAAAAUAGUACAUCAUAUUCACCCUGUGUUUGCCCUUACAGGAUUUUCUACUUGCUUAUCUUUCAUUUAUCUGUGUAUUGCUUUAUUUGGCAUUAAAAUACAGAAUGGAGGUGCUGGAUCUGGCUGCAGUGGCCCUCUCACUGACACUGUUCUAUUAUCUUCUAUCUCCACAGAUAAUAGAUAGUGAAAAUACUUUUGAAGUAUAUCUAUAAAUGAAAGAUGAAAUAUAGAUUUGCAUGACUUAUUGUCAAGUCCUGCUAGGGUUUUUGUUUGUUUGUUCUGUUUUUUAUUUCUCUGACUCCUCAGCUUUUUUUAGUUGACAUUUAAAGAGAGCCUGUAAUUUCAAGCACUACUAGGGAAGAAGGCUAUCUGAGGACCUCAAUGAAAUUGCAUCUAAAUUAAGAGAAUAGAGAUUAAAGACAGGUUUUUUCUAUCAAACAACCAUCUCUGGAAUAGGCAAAUAAUGCUCUUACAGUUAUGAAACUAUUAGCUGCUAAAGCUUUUCGAUUUUUCCCUUUUCAAACAACAUCUGAUGGCCAAAAGCUAUACUGAUAGGGAUUCACUUAUGUCAUAGACUUUCUUUUGGGAGAAGUACAAAAAAAUAUAUGGGUCAUUAUGACCCACCCCCUUAUUACAACUGUGGAAAUGCAGGGGGUUUUAUAAAAGAAUAACAUCUCUGUGAUACCUUGGUUGUGAAAAACCACAAUUAUAGUCAUUGUUUAUGCAUUAGGGAAACCUCAUCCUAAAUCUGGCACCAUAUGGGGCUGAAAAGAGCAGCUGCUGACAUUUCAGGAUAAAAAUUAUGAUCUAGCUGCAGAUAUGACUCAGCAUGAUGAGCCUGACAACAAGAACAGGAAAAAAACCAAAGCAGCAUGGGCAGGUUUCAAAUGUCCCUUCAAGGCACCAGCCCAAAUGCGUUUCCAAGGGGAGAGGCUUUCAACAUGCAUCGAGUGGGACAGCUCCUUAGGAACUCCCCAUGGAAAGCCUGAACAGGGCUCUAGACCAACAUAGCCAAAAGGGUUGUUGACGUUGAUGUGUGUUGUAAUCCAAGGGAGAAAACUAAUCAAUAACUGCCCGAAAAGAGUUUUGGAAUAUUGUUUUUUCUGCUAAUUUUUGUGAACAAUGAAACCAUGCCAAGCAAAACUAUGCCAGCAGCCCCACCUCCCUGUUUUCAACCCCUCUCUGAAGCACUAGCUCAUCACUUUUCAGUCAGUUUGGAGUUCAGUCGAUUCCUUUUGACCAGAAAAUAACAGAGAUACUUGGCUUCUUCCAUGCAGCUCCACGGGUAUUAUUCAGCAUCCCUGAUUUCUUUCACCAGGCCACUACCUUGUCCACAUUCAAUCUACCCAUUCUCUUGCUAUCAUGUCUGCAGAAAAUCUUACUGUUGAUGACCUCCUGAAUGUUUUACUCUCUGGGUCUUUUUUAGCUCCUCUGUUCUUGGAGUGUUAUUUCCUGGGGCAGGGAUGCUCUUUUUCUGCAUGCAUCUGAAAUAUGGAUGUUGUGGAUGAACCACUGUGACAGAAAUGCACUACAUACAACUUUGGGAAAACGCUAGACUGUUGACAUGUAUGUCCAAAGCCAAGUUCUGGUACAUUAUAUCUGGCAACAAAUACAAGUUUUGUUUACUCCAUAAAUAUGAACUUUGCACUCCUUGUGUCAAUCUCAGCCUUUUGGUUUGGGAGAAGCACGUGCUCUAACCUCUGACUCAAUGAGAGGCAUAUCCAUUUGAAAACUGAAAUGCAACUGCUUUCUUCAGAAAAUGCUUAUUUUGGCAAUAGAUGGGGAGUUUCAAGUAGUGCCUGUAUCAAGGCUGAAAUUCAUUCAUACUUUUAUCACAGGGCUUUUCACAUCACCCAUUCACUCUGUGGUGGGGACAUGCCCAAGUCAGGACAGGUGGAAUUCCUAGUGUAGAGGCUACAGGACCUUGGGCAAAAGAAGUGCUAAGACCAAGAUUCUGGCUACCUUUUUGCCAAUUUAGCAGCUUGCAAUUCAUCUUUUCCAUGUGAUUGAGGGCCUCAGAGAAGAACAGGACAGCAAAAUGUGGCUGUCGGUUGGAUAAGAUAUUCUGGCCUUUGGAAACUGGCCCAGAGGCCAUAGGUUGGUCAUUUAUCCUUUAAUUUAGAAAAGCCACAAACAAACAACAACCAACCAACCAAACCAAACCACCCAGAAAAAACAAACAACCCCCCAACCAAAAAACCCCCACACAAACCAAAAAGUCAUAUAUAGAAUUAAUAGAAUAAUAAUUUAAUAAUUUGAGGCUCCAAGUUGAUUUGUAGGUAGAUGCUAACUUUUCCAAAACACUGCAGGGAAUUUGGAUUUUUCACAACCUGUCCUGUAUUGCUUUGAAAGAAAGUGUCUGCUGUUUUUGGCUAUUUCUGUAGAUUAUUUCACAGCCCAAAUAUUCUGUUUGGUUCUAGUAUUGUAUUAUUUGUUAGGAAUGUAUUAGCAGCCUGAUUUCCUAAAUGUCUGCCGCAUCAAUUUGAAAAGAUACUGUUUAACAACUAAUAAAUAGAUUUCAAUAUUUUUUCUGCCUACUUUUGGAUGUGUGGGAGAGAAAUGAAGCUAAAGAGUCUAUGACCUGUGCUCUUAUGGUAGACAACUGAAUAUUUAUGUAUUUAUAAUGGAUACAUGUUCAAGGUUCAGGAUUGCUAUCUGUACCUAUUAUUAUUGUUGUGUUAUCAUCAUCAUUAUUUUGCACUGUGGUAGAGAUCCCCCUAAAGAUCAAAGUCCUUUUGUAUUAGGCUCUGCAUGAAGAAAAUGAGAGGCCCUGCUCCCAUGCUAAUCACCUCCACUCAUGCUUCAGCUGCACAAAUGUUGUACUUGUGAAGCAGCUUCUGAAUGUAUAGUGUAGGACAUCGUAGAAAACAUAUAUCAGAUGCAUUAGCUCUGUCAUACUAUUCACCCAGUUCUUCAGAGAAUUUGACUAUGGCUGCAUCUCUACAGAUGCAUAGCUACAUAGGUUUUUGUAUAAUUUGACUUCUUUACAUACUCUAUUGAUCACUCUGCUAAGGGUUCUUUUUAUGGCUUGGUCAUUUUGUCUGAUGUGUUCUUGCAUAACAUUGAGAUCUUGUCUCUGUAAAGUCUAAGUAUCACAUGACUUAUUUUUUUGAGAGUUCUCUGCAGUUCAGGACAAGGAAUGUGGUUGUCUGAUUAGUGUUGAAAGUUUAGAGCUGUAUGGAUAUGAAGAGUUUUCAUAUGUGUGGUGUAUUUCAACAAGCUGCUGCUUUGCUGUUCUGGGGAACCUGAUCUCCCGUGGUGCUAACGGUUUUGGUGCAUAACUACAACAAAUGUAAUUUUUCUUGCAGAGUGAAAUAUGUCAUUCAAUUUAACAUGGAACAUCUAGAUAAUUCUUCUUAUUGUUUGAAAUCCAGUAUAUUUCCUUCAAAGUAAGGUGACAUCCAUUGUGCAGCCAAAUGACUAUAGCUUACUGGAAAGGACAUUUAGGGAAAGCUGUGGCAUACAUUGUGGAACUGUUAACUCAGGACAGAAACAUUUAUGGCUGAGGUGUCAAGAAUAAGUGCAUUGUCUGUUCAUGAGUUUUGUUGCUUCAUAUUUUUCUUCAUCCCUAAUGUGAUCUGUUAUAAAGAAUGGGGAAGUUACAAUGAAUUAGUUAAAACCCCCACAUAUUUAUAACACAGGCAGGAUCUUUCAUUGUGGCUGGACACCAUGCUUUGUCAGACCAGUGAAACUGAUGUGAAUAACAUGUAAGUUUUUUUGCUCACCUUCAACACCAUCAUCUAAACUGUUGCAAAAUCUUAACUGAGCCUUCAUUCUCAAUGAGCUGUUGACUCCAUAGCCUACAGUGGGAGAGCUGUGUUUGUGGAAGCCCUAGUUAAAAAAGACAAAUGCUUUUCCAGCUGUGAUGUUGAAAUUCUGAUUUAGAUGCCAAAGUAGAAAAUGUUGUUUUUUUAAAACAACAAUGGUAGCAAAAACUGUCCUUCUAACAAAUGUAUGGUAUUAUUCCUCAAUUCAUUUUUGAGACAUUAUGUUUCACUUCCUACUUAACAGUAUACAGAAGGAAACAAUAAAACUUGCAUCACAGAUCUGAAGAGUAGCUUUCGGGCUGUGCCCUCAUGCUGGUCUAGAGGAAAAUAAGGAGCAGGAGGCUAAGCCGAGAACAUGUGUGGAGACUGGCACCAUGAAAAUACUGCAAAUUCCUGCUCCGAUCCCCUCUGCUUUUUGUAUGCCCAUUCUAGGCAAUGUGACAAUGUGUUUUCUUACUGGAUAUAUCACCCCUGGAGACAGAAUGUCCUCUGGGCCUCCUCCAAUAGGAGGAUGAUUUGUUGGUUUAGCAAUCAUUGACUCAUCCUUAUUUUUUUUAACGCAAAUUAAAGUUGGCAGCAAAGCAACCUCAUGUUGUUCAGUGGCAGCUCCUUGGCAUCUCCUUAUUCUCCCUGGUUAGGUGCCCUAUGCCAACCAACACAUGGACUUCAGCAAUUGUUUGGAGUGCUUCGUCUGGCUUGUAAUCUGUCAUAUGUUCCCAGAGAUGUACUGGCAGGUAGCUGAACGAUGACUAAGAAAACAUCUAGGAUUUUCAUUAAAACCACAAAUGCAUGUAUUAGCUAAGUUAUUUACGACUGGAAGUAAGCAGCCAGACACCAUGUAUACAAGUAUCUAAUCACCUAGUAAAGAAAGAAUUUUAAGUUACCAAGCAGUUAGAGCUAGGGUAUUUAGGUACAAGCAAAUAAUUUCAGUUUAGGAUGAGGUCAGUUGUCUCCACUGAUUUCUCUGGCAUUGACUAGAAGGUAUCUGUAAUGUUCAGAAGGCUGCUGACAACAUCAAUCAAAACCUAUUAUGUGACACGUUAUUUGCUUGGAGAUCUGCUGUAUUAAGAUGCCAUGUGGUUGGAAUCAGAUAAUUUUAAUUGUUAUCACAUGUAAUUGCCAGCCACAUAAUUGUGUCUUACCGAUCUUUAACAGUGUUUGUUUUUCAGACUUCUUUCCUGCGGCCCAAGCUCUCUGUAGAUUACUUCAGUGGUCUUUUUAAUAUCAAAAGGAAAACUAAAGUUUUCAGAGACCGGACAUCGCAGUGAUCCGUCAUCUAAACAAUGCUGCCAUGGAAAAUGACCAGAAAUCUACUAUCUGAGAAAACCCAUCCAUCAUCUUCAGGCAAUCUUCCAAUCUGUUAACUUUAGCUGCUACUAAUAAGUGUCUCAGUCCAGGAAAAGCAAUUAUUACGAUGUUUCACAGAAUAGCUUCCAGAUAGCACAUGAUGUAAACUGCUCUUGGGCAGCAUUUCUUCUAAGGAAACGGGUUUUUUAUUUUUCUCUUCAGUAAGCAACUUUACCAAUGCAAUUGUGACAGAAGCAGAGGUAAAGAGGAAGAGCUGUUGGAAAUGGGAGUUGGCCAUAGCUACUGUGCCCAUCUACACCAUCCAAAGACUUGGAUCAUGGUGCUUUGUAAAGCCUUUGUUAUGGGUUUGAGCAGCGUGCAGACUCAGUAAGGAGUGAUUGAGAUACAGUCACUAAUGUGUUCCAUCUCAUAGAGCCAAAUCAGGCAACCUGGUUUGACUGCAGGUUCACCUCCAGAGAGUGAUAUCUCACCUACUAUCUAGCAUACAUAACCAGGAAUGAAAAACAAGCCAAGCUCAGUGUGUUAGCAUCUCUAUUUUGAUUCUUGCUAUUUUGAGGCCCUUAAUGAAAAUGCAACAUCAUUGCAGGCUGCUGCUUGCAGUCAGUACCCUGAUCAGUAUGCUUGCACGUGGUAGUCAUUUGCAUUUUUCUCAGUACUGUCUCCAGAGCACAGGGACAAGCUGCCAUGCCAGGGGAAGGUGCCACUGGUAAGCAUCACUGUGAAGGUGUUCACUGGCCUGGAGAGACGAGGCUUCUCCAAGGUAAUCAUGGACCAUUAUUAGGUGGCUUAGGUGGAUAUCCUGCCAGAGGAUGAACUCAGCUGAGCUCCCAGUACAGAGAGUUUCCUAUUAGAAAAGGGGAAACCAAAGCAGGAGAGGGUCAAAGGAGCAGCGCAUGGUUUAUCUAUGACUACCUUCACUGUAGCCUGAUUUCUGUAACACGGGACCUCUGUCAAGGGAUUGGGGAGGGAAAUUUGACAACUCUUCUGUGAUGACAAACAUACACUGGCAAAACUCUACUUUAUGAUCUUAUAGUCAAUGCAUUUAGGAUCAGUCAGAUAAUCAUAUGGUGGCAUCUCACUAAGCCUCUCUGAUUAGUUUGAGGGACUGGUUUGAAAGUUUCUCAUGGCUCAUUCCUGGCUGUUCUUCACAUGUCCUUUUAAGCAGAUGUUAGCUUGUGACUAGUUUUCAGUCUACCUCUGCUAGUCUCCUUGAUCUUGAAGGCUGUUGAUAGCAGACGACAUUCAGCAUUUUUCCAGACACCCAUCUACCUCAUCAGACCGAAUGACUUGUCUUUUCAAUUCUACUUCUGUAGUGUAUUAUAAAUUGUUUUGGUGUGUUUGGAUUUCUUGUUGAGGACUUGCUUUCUAAUCCUUGAAGAAUUGGAUGCUAAGAGGAAAGCAUGAUCUAGAUUCCUUCUGAAAAUUUCAGAUUAAUGCGCUAGAUCAUUCUGCACAAUAGCUAAUCCAAACCCAUUUACUUUGUAAGCAAAAGUUUGGUCUUGAGUACCAUCAUUAAGUUGUUUGCUAGGAGAAAUGAGUCCAAUGGGACCAUGGUACAUGUAGAAUCUUUGUUUUGCAACUGGUUCUUUUCAUGACUAAAUUAAUCAGACACAUAUACUAGAAGGUUAGAAACCAUAAUUUGCUUGGCUUAAAAGGAGCUGUUCAACACAUCAAGAUGUUUAUUUAAUUCAUCAAAGCUGUUUUGGCCUGCAGAAAUGCAUACAUACAAACAUAUAUAUAUUCUUAAAAUAUGUUUAAGCAUUCAGUCGUGUAUAUAUAUAUAUGUAUGUAUGUAUAUAUAUACGUUUCUCCUGUAUAUUUUUGAUUCAAUUUGAAAAUUAAUUUUUCCUUAUAAAUAUGUAAAAUUCCUUCUUGUAUAUGCAACCACAUACAUGUGCGUGUGCUCAUCAUCAAUAUGUUGUCCUGCCUUUAAUUAUUGAAGACUGAGAGAUGUCAGCAAACAAUUUGGUUUCGACAUCUAAGAAAAGGGUAAGAAUACAUUGCUGAAAGAUCAGCAGUUGAUUGGCCCCUUGGACAUUCUUGGCCCCCUGAACACCCUGCAAAUAAAUGCCUGAAAGGCUGAUUUUGCCAUAAGCCAUGGGAGCUGAUCAGAGUUCAGUCAUAGGAAAGCCUAUAUUCUUCAUACAAUUCCUAGGUGGUUUAAAAUAUUCACCAACUUAGUUAAGUGUCCUUUGUUCUCCUGGGCAGUAGUUCUACUGUGAGAUGGAAAGUGUUAAAAUUACUUUCCCUGGGAUAGGGAUAAUGAGAGCUUCUGCCUUGCCUUUUUUUUUUUUUUUUUUGCUUCAUGGGAAAUGUUUUUGGGCAUUAGUGAUGUAACAGGAAAUAUUUAAUGGUACCUUCUUGAUUCCUGACAGCAUUACGCUAUCUGUAAUGAUGAGAAAGGUGAAAAUAAAAAUGACAUUUCCUAUUUGGCAGAUGUUCUGUAGCACUAACAGAAAGUCCAACGGUCAGACAAUUUCAAGAAUAAAAAUUAUUAUAGGCCCAGUGAACUGAAAAAAAUGCUAUUUCUUUCUGUAUGUUUUAGGAGAAGAUUCUUUUUAAUUAAAUAGGUAAACUAAGAUAUCAAAUUUAAAGUCAUCCUUUGCCAUCAAUUCGAAACUAGAAAUCAUCACUUCUUUCCUAGAAACAUCCAUUUUCACUGAGAGUGACUCUGGCCUUUCUGGUGUCACUCUGGUAUGUUAUUUCACAGCAAUGUGCUCAGCCUCUAAAGCACAAACCAUUAAUGCGUAUAUUUCCUUUUCAUCCAGAUAUUCAUUUUCUUGUAUAAGACAGUCUUGUUCCCUAAAUCUUUCCAGACCUAUCACUUAGUUUAUGUGCACAACAGGUCUUUGACGGUUCUGUGUUUCUUCCUGAAGCAAAAAGUCAGAGGAAAUAAAAAGGAAUUCUUAUGUCUAAGUAUUUGAAAAUUACUUUGGUCUAGAUGCCACUAAAGCACAAAUGUAACAGCACAUAUUUAAAAAAAAAAUCACUAGAUUCAGAAUAUAACAUUCCAGACACACCAUAUUGUAUUCGAAUUCAUACAACCCUUUUGUCUGAGUAAUUUACUCUCCUGAGAGGUAAGGGAAAAUGGGUGACAUUUUUUCAGUUCUGUACUUUGCAACUUAUUGAGGUCCUCAAAUUCAUGUUUCCUUACAUUCUUUCUUUGUACUCACUGUGUUUGUCAGAAGAGAUGUGUGAAUGAGAAUAUAUUUGAAAUCUGCAUUGCUUUUGGGGCUUGGUUCAAACAGGAUUAGCAGCCAUAGAAGGAUCUCACCAAAGGUUUUCAUGACUUCUAGUCACAUCAUUAAUGAAGAAGACCUUUUGAACAUUUUGGUCUUCUUCCUUCCAUGUGAAGAGAAAUAGUGAUUCUGCCUUUGAAAAACAUUUUGAAAUUGGCAGAGAUGCAGAUAUUAAUCACUGUUAUACGUGUUUACAAGCAGUGAGAAAGACUAUGUUUAACAGAAAGACCACAUUUUAUUAUAUUUACAACAAUAGAACUGGAAUAUAACCUUUUUAUUUAAAAAUCAAGCCACAGAUUAAGUUUUGAUUGCAGUAUUUUAUACUGAAAAUAAGAAUAAUGAAAGCAAUUAAGUAUUCAUAGUCCUGCUCUCACACAAACACCUUCCAUGGUGAGCCUGUUUAUGCAACCAAGUGUGCCAUACAAUUGCUUUUAUUACCUCCUUAUAAAACAGCCUGUAUAAAACACUUUUUUUUGAUUGUUUCUUUGUGUAUUGUUGAGUAUGUUUGCAUUCUAAAGGGCUUUGCCUCAUUAAAGUAAUUACCAUAAA